rnacentral:lncRNA from 1 species
CGUGUAUGUAGAUUGUCAGUGGUGUUACGUUUGUAGGUACUGUUUGUGUGUGUGCGGUUUGUAUUAUUUGCAUGAAGGGGAACAUUAUUUUGCAGGACUGUGUAUAUCUAGAAGGGUGGUUGGCCUUCAUGGGGUCCAGCGGGCACCAGGCUGGCCAGGUACAGGUUAAGGGCAGGGGCUGAGGGUUGCUCGACUCCAGUGCAGAUUCACAUUCACAAGAGGGGGGGAGGAAGUGAUAUCUUCCUCUAAGUAUUGCAAUGUGUAAGUUAAGGAUUGCCCCUCAACACGUGCAAUCACCAUUCAGUUUGCACUAGGGACCUGAUAGGUCGGAGUCUGGCUCUGGCAGCCUUGAGUGCCGUAGGCUGCUGACUUGCCUUAACUCAGCUUUUGGCAAUUGUUGCAUCUUUCUCAGUAUUCAAUGUAGACUAUAAAGUUCCCUUCCAGCAAACACAUCACUGGCUGUCACAGAAAUUACUAAAGUCUUUUAAUUAAGUACAUAAAACCCAAGUCUCAGAUAGUAUAUUCCCACAGGUAAUUAGGGU